rnacentral:rRNA from 1 species
CCUACGGGAGGCAGCAGUGAGGAAUAUUCCUCAAUGGGGGAAACCCUGACGCAGCAACGCCGCGUGGAGGAUGAAGGUUUUCGGAUUGUAAACUCCUUUUGUUAGAGAAGAUAAUGACGUUAUCUGACGACUAAGGACUGGCUAACUCCGUACCAGCAGCCGCGGGCAUACGGAAGGUGCAAGCGUUAAGCGGAAUCAGUGGGCGUAAAGAGCGAGUAGGAGGGAGAGCAAUUACGAUGUGAAAUACUAUGGCCUAAACAUAGAACUGCAUUUGAAACUGUUAUUCUAGAGUAUGGGAGAGGUAGGUGGAAUUCUUGGUGUAGGGGUAAAAUCCGUAGAGAU